rnacentral:rRNA from 1 species
GAGUUUGAUCGUGGCUCAGAUUGAACGCUGGCGGCAUGCCUUACACGUGCAAGUCGAACGGCAGCACGGGAGCUUGCUCCUGGUGGCGAGUGGCGAACGGGUGAGUAAUGCAUCGGAACGUAUCCUGGAGUGGGGGAUAACGUAGCGAAGUUACGCUAAUACCGCAUAUUCUGUGAGCAGGAAAGCGGGGGACCUUCGGGCCUCGCGCUCUUGGAGCGGCCGAUGUCGGAUUAGCUAGUUGGUGAGGUAAAGGCUCACCAAGGCGACGAUCCGUAGCAGGUCUGAGAGGAUGAUCUGCCACACUGGAACUGAGACACGGUCCAGACUCCUACGGGAGGCAGCAGUGGGGAAUUUUGGACAAUGGGGGCAACCCGUGAUCCAGCCAUGCCGCGUGAGUGAAGAAGGCCUUCGGUU